rnacentral:rRNA from 1 species
AGACCCGAAACCCGGUGAUCUAGCCAUGGGCAGGUUGAAGGUUGGGUAACACUAACUGGAGGACCGAACCGACUAAUGUUGAAAAAUUAGCGGAUGACCUGUGGCUGGGGGUGAAAGGCCAAUCAAACCGGGAGAUAGCUGGUUCUCCCCGAAAGCUAUUUAGGUAGCGCCUCGUGAAUUCAUCUCCGGGGGUAGAGCACUGUUUCGGCUAGGGGGCCAUCCCGGCUUACCAACCCGAUGCAAACUGCGAAUACCGGAGAAUGUUAUCACGGGAGACACACGGCGGGUGCUAACGUCCGUCGUGAAGAGGGAAACAACCCAGACCGCCAGCUAAGGUCCCAAAGUCAUGGUUAAGUGGGAAACGAUGUGGGAAGGCCCAGACAGCCAGGAUGUUGGCUUAGAAGCAGCCAUCAUUUAAAGAAAGCGUAAUAGCUCACUGGUCGAGUCGGCCUGCGCGGAAGAUGUAACGGGGCUAAACCAUGCACCGAAGCUGCGGCAGCGACACUCAGGUGUUGUUGGGUAGGGGAGCGUUCUGUAAGCCUGCGAAGGUGGCCUGUGAGGGUUGCUGGAGGUAUCAGAAGUGCGAAUGCUGACAUAAGUAACGAUAAAGCGGGUGAAAAGCCCGCUCGCCGGAAGACCAAGGGUUCCUGUCCAACGUUAAUCGGGGCAGGGUGAGUCGACCCCUAAGGCGAGGCCGAAAGGCGUAGUCGAUGGGAAACGGGUUAAUAUUCCCGUACUUGGUGUUACUGCGAAGGGGGGACGGAGAAGGCUAUGUUGGCCGGGCGACGGUUGUCCCGGUUUAAGCGUGUAGGUGUGUGUUCCAGGUAAAUCCGGUUCACUUUAACACUGAGGCGUGACGACGAGGCACUACGGUGCUGAAGCAACAAAUGCCCUGCUUCCAGGAAAAGCCUCUAAGCAUCAGGUAACAUCAAAUCGUACCCCAAACCGACACAGGUGGUCAGGUAGAGAAUACCAAGGCGCUUGAGAGAACUCGGGUGAAGGAACUAGGCAAAAUGGUGCCGUAACUUCGGGAGAAGGCACGCUGACACGUA